UAUUCUCUGGAGGGAGGAGAUCCGAGCUGCGACACUCACCAUCCAGCUCAGCCCUGAGAGGCUCGGCUGGACCAAGUUCUCUCCCUCUCGCCUGGUUCUGUCUGCAGAGAGCCUACCAGGCAGAAUUGGUGCCCCGUGUGAGGAAGCAUCUCCCGUCCUGAUGGAAGUUCACUGACAGAUAAUUGGUCAGUCUGCAGAGUCAUCAAGAGAAAAGAAUGAAGAGCCCCCUGUAAUCGACAAUGAAGAUCCGAGAAAAGAAUGAAGAUUCCCCCUGUCAUCAACAAUGAAGAUCCGAGAAAAGAAUGAAGAUCCCCCUGUCAUCGGCAAGACAAUGAAGAUCCUACAAAAGAUCGAUGGGGGAUUCAACGAUCCAAGAAGACUUAGAGAAGAGGAAGAGAGAGCUUCAAUACAACCCACUGUGGACUUGCCUCCAUGGCUUCCUGGCUUUACCUACACCCCCUCCCUGGUCCCUUCUUCCUUCCCUUUCUCCCUCCCACAGUGGGGCCAUAUUUACUUAAUACGCAAUUCAUCCAACAGUGUAUCAAGGCAAUCAGGCUUCAUCAGGUCCAGGCUCAUUAUCAAAGGCUAGCUUCCUGAGAGCCAAGAUUAACAUACGAUUAGCCCUCAAAAUAUGAGCGACCUUCCCCGGCACUCCAUUUGACCAAGGACGGGUAAGAUCUCAGAUGUGCUGGGACAACCUGAGGCAGAUCGUGGAGCAUGCCCCUUGAGCCAGAGUGACACACGGGUAAGAUCCCCAUGUGGGGGACAACCUAAGGCAGAAGCCAUGUAAC